rnacentral:rRNA from 1 species
ACGGGUGCGUAACACGUGGGUAAUCUGCCCUCUGAUGGGGAAUAACUCGCCGAAAGGCGAGCUAAUUCCGCAUAAUAUUCCGAGAACCUCGGUUUUUGGACUGAAAGGCGUAAGUCGUCGGAGGAGGAGCCCGCGCACGAUUAGCUAGUUGGUAGGGUAAUGGCCUACCAAGGCUUUGAUCGUUAGCUGGUCUGAGAGGAUGGCCAGCCACACUGGAACUGAGACACGGUCCAGACUCCUACGGGAGGCAGCAGUGGGGAAUCUUGCACAAUGGGCGAAAGCCUGAUGCAGCGACGCCGCGUGGGGGAUGAAGCUUCUCGGAGUGUAAACCCCUUUCGAUCCGGACGAAUGCCCGCAAGGGAUUGACGGUACGGAUAUAAGAAGCCCCGGCUAACUACGUGCCAGCAGCCGCGG